GUAACAAGGUUUCCGUAGGUGAACCUGCGGAAGGAUCAUUAAUGAAUUAAAGUCGGUCUUCUGUGCUGGUGGUGACACAUGUGCACGUUGAUCGCAAAUCCACACACCUGUGCACCUUUGACUUUAGGAUCCGCUUGUUGGCUUGUCUGACUUGCAGCUGAUGUUGGUUUUGUGCUCAUCUGGAUCUUAGAGUAAUUUUACACACUCUGAAUGUAAUGGAAUGUUCCUGUGCAUAAUGCGCAAAAUACAACUUUCAACAACGGAUCUCUUGGCUCUCGCAUCGAUGAAGAACGCAGCGAAAUGUGAUAAGUAAUGUGAAUUGCAGAAUUCAGUGAAUCAUCGAAUCUUUGAACGCACCUUGCACCCUUUGGUAUUCCAAAGGGUACACCCGUUUGAGUGUCAUUGUAAUCUCACUUCAUCAGCUUUUGUUGAUGGAGGUGGACUUGGACUCUGUUGUGUCAUUACAACUGGUCUGAAAUGUGUGAGUGCACCCUGCUGUUGCAGCGUCCUCAGUGUGAUAAGCAUCUUCACUGAAUCAAGUUCCUUUGGGACACGUGUGUAAUGUGGGCUCUGUGCUGGCAAACUGUCUUUGGACAAUCUUGACAAUUUGACCUCAGAUCGAGUGGGACUACCCGCUGAACUUAAGCAUAUCAAUAAGCGGAGGAAAAGAAACUAACAAGGAUUCCCCUAGUAACGGCGAGUGAAGAGGGAAAAGCUCAAAUUUUGAAUCUGGUGCCUUUGGCAUCCGAGUUGUAAUCUAGAGAAGUGUUUUCUGCCUUGGACCACACAUAAAUUCCCUGGAAUGGGGUGUCAUAGAGGGUGAGAAUCCCGUUUGUGGUGUGGACUACCUUGGCUCUGUGAUACACUCUCAACGAGUCGAGUUGUUUGGGAAUGCAGCUCAAAAUGGGUGGUAAAUUCCAUCUAAAGCUAAAUAUUGGCGAGAGACCGAUAGCGAACAAGUACCGUGAGGGAAAGAUGAAAAGCACUUUGGAAAGAGAGUGAAACAGUACGUGAAAUUGUUGAAAGGGAAGCGUUUGAAGUCAGUCACAUUGGUCAGAAUUCAGCCUGGCUUAUGCCUGGUGUACUUUCUGGCAAAUGGGUCAGCGUCAAUUUUGACCGAGGGAGAAAGACUUGAGGAAGGUGGCUGUCUUUGGGCAGUGUUAUAGCCUCUUGUUGUAAUGCUCGGUUGGGAUUGAGGAUCGCAGCACGCCUUAUGGCCGGGGUUCGCGCCCUCGGUACG
rnacentral:rRNA from 1 species